GCCCUUAUAGCUCAGUGGUAGAGCGCAGCACUUGUAAUGCUGAGGUCCACUUACAUAUAUAUAUAUAUAUAUUUGCCUUUCUAUUAAUAUUAAUAUUAUUCUUUCAGGGUU
rnacentral:tRNA from 1 species